rnacentral:rRNA from 1 species
GACGUAGGGGGCGAGCGUUGUCCGGAUUUAUUGGGCGUAAAGCGUGCGUAGGCGGCUGCGCAAGUCGGGUGUGAAACCCCGGGGCUCAACCCCGGAACUGCAUCCGAUACUGCGUGGCUAGAGGUAGGUAGGGGAGAUCGGAAUUCCUGGUGUAGCGGUGAAAUGCGCAGAUAUCAGGAGGAACACCGGUGGCGAAGGCGGAUCUCUGGGCCUUACCUGACGCUGAGGCGCGACAGCAUGGGGAGCAAACAGG